UUCCCGUGCGCUUGCGAGUCGCACGCAGCUAUUUUCUUCCGCUCGCGACGCCGCCUAGUUGCGACGCCGCCGCCGCUCGCCCAGAUGCUCUAGGCGCCGCCGCCGGACUCCAUCCAGAUCGAGACGGGGAAGGAGCACCGCAUCACGUUCCCGGAGCAGUUGUUGCCCUUGCACCACCAGCAGAGCAGGGGCCUGUCGUCUCGUGGCGCCAGCAGGGAGAGCCGUGGCGGUGGCGGGGAGCCAGGAGUCUCGGAGGUCUCGCACCUGGGCAGGAGCUCGAGGAAGCCGCGUCCAUGUUCGCGGACAAGUGCUUGCUAAAUCUCUCCAACUAAUAAAGGCAUGAUGCUUUUGCAAGAGUGAUUUUCUACUGCGUCUUGGGACAGGGUGACACUGGUGUCAGGACUAUGCUGUGUGAAUGAAAAUUGACAGCAUGCAAGUGCAGUUCAGUUGGUUCGUCUGGCGUUGUUAAGCAUAGUAGGUCAUAAAAACUUAAUGUGUUUUAGUGCACGCCAAGGGCCAUGCUUAAUAGUUCAUAGAUUUAUGUUUCUGAGAACUCUGUUCAUUUUGCUUGAAUGAGACAAUAGUUUUCGGCUAGCUGCUGUAGUUGCCUUUUGAAUCCCAUUAUUAGUGGUACUAUGUUACUUAAAAUAGGUGUUACAUUUUUUGCUGAAUUUGGUUUGAAAUUUGAACUACCAGAGACUCUAGUUGGAAUGAGCAUGGCCUGGUGAAACUACUUCUUAUAGCACCACAUUUUGAGAAUUUUAUGUAACUUUGAUCGGCUGAGCCAAGGUUGUCAAGUGGGCAUAUGAACGUAUUGUGGUUAUAGUUGAGACCUUGCUAAGGUCCCAUGUUCGGAGUCAGUGUUCUACUAGGUAUCGAAACUAGAGCAUUUGGUGGAAGCAAUAUAUGCUUUCUGAAGAAAAAUGUUGUUGCAGUGCUUAUGGCUUCUUAUGAAAAGGAAUUAAAUUUAUUUUUUGAUGUAUGUCUUGGAUAUCUGGAUGGAGAUGAUCUAUGAUUUGGUGACGAAUAGAUUAGCUAGGUUGAAUUUGCCACUUGAAUUAAAUUUUCUAUGCAUGGGACUCUUCAAAUAAUUGCCACAAUUUGUUAUGUAAACAGACUUAUUCCUGAGUUUUUUUCGUCGCUUCUCGAUGCUAGAAUGGAUAUAUAGUGACUUCUUAUAUUAUUUUUA